GGGGUUCUAGCUCAUCGGUAGAGCGCUCGCUUAGCAUUCAGAUUUUCAUGAUUGCGAGAGGCGCUGGGUUCGAUUCCCAGGUACUCCA
rnacentral:tRNA from 1 species